UCGGGAAUUUUGGGCAAUGGGCGAAAGCCUGACCCAGCAACGCCGCGUGAAGGAUGAAGUAUUUCGGUAUGUAAACUUCGUAAGAAUAGGAAGAAUAAAUGACGGUACUAUUUAUAAGGUCCGGCUAACUACGUGCCAGCAGCCGCGGUAAUACGUAGGGACCAAGCGUUGUUCGGAUUUACUGGGCGUAGAGGGCGCGUAGGCGGCAAUUCAAGUCAUCUGUGAAAUCUCCGGGCUUAACUCGGAACGGUCAGAUGAUACUGCUUUGCUAGAGUGCAGAAGGGGCAAUCGGAAUUCUUGGUGUAGCGGUGAAAUGCGUAGAUAUCAAGAGGAACACCUGAGGUGAAGACGGGUUGCUGGGCUGACACUGACGCUGAGGCGCGAAAGCCAGGGGAGCAAACGGGAUUAGAUACCCACGUAGUCCCUGAGCGGGCUGGCAAGGCGCAU
rnacentral:rRNA from 1 species